rnacentral:tRNA from 1 species
GCGGGAAUAGCUCAGUGGUAGAGCACAACCUUGCCAAGGUUGGGGUCGCGAGUUCUAAUCUCGUUUCCCGCUCCA